UACGAAGGGGGCUAGCGCUGCUCGGAAUCACUGGGCGUAAAGCGCACGUAGGCGGAUCUUUAAGUCAGGGGUGAAAUCCUGGAGCUCAACUCCAGAACUGCCUUUGAUACUGGGGAUCUCGAGUCCGGAAGAGGUGAGUGGAACUCCGAGUGUAGAGGUGAAAUUCGUAGAUAUUCGGAAGAACACCAGUGGCGAAGGCGGCUCACUGGUCCGGUACUGACGCUGAGGUGCGAAAGCGUGGGGAGCAAACAGG
rnacentral:rRNA from 1 species